GACCUUGUAUUAUAAUGGUAGUAUGCCACGUCGAAUUUAUGGUCCAAACGGUUCUCGACCCUCGUGAUGAUCUCAGUUCGAGUCUGAGCAAGGUUU